CUAAGUCUCAGAACUUAGUCGAUCUAUUGUGAUGAGAAGGCUCAAUCCAAGGGUGAGUCGAUUCAAGUUUCAGAUCUAAAUGAUUGUGUAUAAAAUUAAUUAUAAAAAUAUUUUAUAAAAUUAGAUAUUAUUUUCAAAUACCGAACCCUUACCCACAGUCUCAAACUUAAUUGAGAAUUAAGUUGAACAAAUUAGAUCUAAAAUUAUGAAUUAA
rnacentral:lncRNA from 1 species